UACAGAGGUCCCAAGCGUUGUUCGGAUUCAUUGGGCGUAAAGGGUGCGUAGGCGGCGCGGUAAGUCGGGUGUGAAAUCUCGGGGCUUAACUCCGAAACUGCAUUCGAUACUGCCGUGCUUGAGGACUGGAGAGGAGACUGGAAUUUACGGUGUAGCGGUGAAAUGCGUAGAGAUCGUAAGGAAGACCAGUGGCGAAGGCGGGUCUCUGGACAGUUCCUGACACUGAGGCACGAAGGCCAGGGGAGCAAACGGG
rnacentral:rRNA from 1 species